rnacentral:rRNA from 1 species
AGACCAGCACCUCAAGUGGUCAGGAUGAUUAUUGGGCCUAAAGCAUCCGUAGCCUGUUCUGUAAGUUUUCGGUUAAAUCCAUUAGCUCAACUAAUGGGCCGCCGAAAAUACUGCAUAACUAGGGAGUGGGAGAGGUAGACGGUACUCGGUAGGAAGGGGUAAAAUCCUUUGAUCUAUUGAUGACCACCUGUGGCGAAGGCGGUCUACCAGAACACGUUCGACGGUGAGGGAUGAAAGCUGGGGGAGCAAACCGGAUUAGAUACCCGAGUAGUCC